rnacentral:lncRNA from 1 species
GCUUUGUUUACCUAAUCAAGCCUGGGCAAUGGCGGGCGCCCCUCCCCCAGCCUCGCUGCCGCCUUGCAGUUUGAUCUCAGACUGCGGUGCUAGCAAUCAGCGAGACUCCGUGGGCGUAGGACCCUCCGAGCCAGUUCCUGAGAGAUCCCAUGAUCCAGAGACAAAGGUGGCAGCUUUGGAGCAAGUGGAGAGCCAAGAAAAGGAUCCAGAACUGGAGUGGAAGAACAGCUGCUCUCUAGCCUACUUCAUUGACAGCACCAGCCAAGUGAAUAGGUCAGAGAAGAGAGAGACAGAGUCUCACUAUGUUGCCCAGGCUUGUCUUGAACUCCUGCCUUCAAGCAAUCCUCCCACCUCAGCCUCUCAAAGUGCUGGCAUUACAGCUGAAGCUAUGCCAUCUUUUAUGCCUGAUGAGGCAGUUUCAUCUGAUUUGAAGAUGAUGAAGAAAAGUUCUUUGCAAGGUUGCUUAUUGAAUAUUACUGGGAAAACAGGAAAAUUAGGAGGAAUGUUCUGGAGUGAUUUAUCUUUUUCAUCA